GCUGGGCUCGGUGGUGCAUGCCCAGCUACUUGGGAGGCUGAGGUGAGAGGAUCACUUGAGCCCAGGAGUUCUAGGCUGUAGUGUGCUAUGCCGUCGGGUGUCCGCACUAAGUUUGGCAUCAAUAUGGUGACCUCCUAGGAGUGGGGGACCACCAGGUUGCCUAAGGAGGGGUGAACCAGCCCAGGUUGGAAAUGGAGCAGGCCAAAACUUCCAUGCUGAUCAGUAGUGGGAUAGUGCUUGUGAAUAGCCACCGCACUCCAGCCUGGGCAGCAUAGCAAGACCCUGUCUCU
rnacentral:SRP_RNA from 1 species